rnacentral:rRNA from 1 species
UACGAAGGGGGCUAGCGUUGCUCGGAAUCACUGGGCGUAAAGGGCGCGUAGGCGGCCGAUCAAGUCGGAGGUGAAAGCCCAGGGCUCAACCCUGGAAUGGCCUUCGAUACUGGUUGGCUCGAGACCGGAAGAGGUCAGUGGAACUGCGAGUGUAGAGGUGAAAUUCGUAGAUAUUCGCAAGAACACCAGUGGCGAAGGCGGCUGACUGGUCCGGUUCUGACGCUGAGGCGCGAAAGCGCGGGGAGCAAACAGG